GAAUUGCCUUAGAUACGGCGAGUGAAGCGGCAAAAGCUCAAAUUUGAAAUCUGGCACCUUCGGUGUCCGAGUUGUAAUUUGAAGAAGCUACUUUGGGGCUAGUCCUUGUCUAUGUUCCUUGGAACAGGACGUCAUGGAGGGUGAGAAUCCCGUAUGGCGAGGAGUCUAGUCCUAUGUAAAGUGCUUUCGACGAGUCGAGUUGUUUGGGAAUGCAGCUCUAAGUGGGUGGUAAAUUCCAUCUAAAGCUAAAUAUUGGCGAGAGACCGAUAGCGAACAAGUACAGUGAUGGAAAGAUGAAAAGAACUUUGAAAAGAGAGUGAAAAAGUACGUGAAAUUGUUGAAAGGGAAGGGCAUUUGAUCAGACAUGGUGUUUUGCGACCCUCGCUCCUUGUGGGUGGGGAUCUCGCAGCUCACUGGGCCAACAUCAGUUUUGGCGGUAGGAUAAAUCUUUGGGAACGUGGCUUGUCUUCGGAGAAGCGUUAUAGCCCAGGGGAAUACUGCCAGCCGGGACUGAGGACUGCGACUUUUGUCAAGGAUGUUGGCAUAAUGGUUAAAUGCCGCCCGUCUUGAACCACGGACCAAG
rnacentral:rRNA from 1 species